AACAUCGCGCACCUGCGGGAACCUGCGGAAGGAUCAUUACAGAGUUGCAAAACUCCCUAAACCAUUGUGAACGUUACCUAAACCGUUGCUUCGGCGGGCGGCCCGGGUCCUUCCCGGCGCCCCUCGGCCCUCGCGGGCGCCCGCCGGAGGUAAACCAAACUAUUGCAUUGUAUGGCCUCUCUGAGUCUUCUGUACCGAAUAAGUCAAAACUUUUAACAAUGGAUCUCAGAUCGGAAGAGC
rnacentral:misc_RNA from 1 species